CUUUGAAAGAAAGAGGAAAGAGUUAUGUUAGCAGGAAAGGAAAAGUCAUGCCGCCAAAAAAACCACCUUCUAUGCUGAAAAUAUGCAAAUGUAAGAACCAAUGCGAUACAAUAGACCAUGACAUGAAAUUAACUUUAUUUGACAAGUUCUACCGAGAAGGUUUAAAAACACAAAGAACAUAUUUGAUGGGGCUGUUGCAUCUGCAUAACAUUAAGCGACGCCGACAUGGUAAUUAUGAUGUACCAUCUGAAAGUAGACGACAAGCUACUAUUUUUUAUUUUAUACCUAAAGGUGAUGGCACAUUAGUA